rnacentral:rRNA from 1 species
GACGAACGCUGGCGGCGUGCCUAAUACAUGCAAGUCGAACGCACGAAGUUGAAGAGCUUGCUCUUUAACCAAGUGAGUGGCGGACGGGUGAGUAACACGUGGGUAACCUGCCCAUUAGAGGGGGAUAACAUUCGGAAACGGAUGCUAAUACCGCAUAGUUUCAGGAAUCGCAUGAUCCUUGAAGGAAAGGUGGCUUCGGCUACCACUAAUGGAUGGACCCGCGGCGUAUUAGCUAGUUGGUGAGGUAAUGGCUCACCAAGGCAAUGAUACGUAGCCGACCUGAGAGGGUGAUCGGCCACACUGGGACUGAGACACGGCCCAGACUCCUACGGGAGGCAGCAGUAGGGAAUCUUCCGCAAUGGACGAAAGUCUGGCGGAGCAACGCCGCGUGAGUGAAGAAGGUUUUCGGAUCGUAAAACUCUGUUGUUAAAGAAGAACAAGGAUGAGAGUAACUGCUCAUCCCUGACGGUAUUUAACCAGAAAGCCACGGCUAACUACGUGCCAGCAGCCGCGGUAAUACGUAGGUCCCGAGCGUUGUCCGGAUUUAUUGGGCGUAAAGCGAGCGCAGGCGGUUUGAUAAGUCUGAAGUUAAAGGCUGUGGCUCAACCAUAGUUCGCUUUGGAAACUGUCAAACUUGAGUGCAGAAGGGGAGAGUGGAAUUCCAUGUGUAGCGGUGAAAUGCGUAGAUAUAUGGAGGAACACCGGUGGCGAAAGCGGCUCUCUGGUCUGUAACUGACGCUGAGGCUCGAAAGCGUGGGGAGCGAACAGG